AGAGUUUGAUCAUGGCUCAGAUUGAACGCUGGCGGCAGGCUUAACACAUGCAAGUCGAGCGGUAACAGAGAGUAGCUUGCUACUCUGCUGACGAGCGGCGGACGGGUGAGUAAUACUUGGGAAUCUGCCUUUUGGAGGGGGAUAACCACUGGAAACGGUGGCUAAUACCGCAUAAUGCUUUCGAGCCAAAGCGGGGGAUCUUCGGACCUCGCGCCAUUAGAUGAGCCCAAGCAAGAUUAGGUAGUUGGUGGGGUAAAGGCCUACCAAGCCGACGAUCUUUAGCUGGUCUGAGAGGAUGAUCAGCCACACUGGGACUGAGACACGGCCCAGACUCCUACGGGAGGCAGCAGUGGGGAAUAUUGGACAAUGGGCGCAAGCCUGAUCCAGCCAUGCCGCGUGUGUGAAGAAGGCCUUCGGGUUGUAAAGCACUUUCAGUGGUGAGGAAGGCCUAAUAGUUAAUAGCUAUUAGGAUUGACGCUAGCCACAGAAGAAGCACCGGCUAACUCCGUGCCAGCAGCCGCGGUAAUACGGAGGGUGCGAGCGUUAAUCGGAAUUACUGGGCGUAAAGCGCACGUAGGCGGUUUGUUAAGCUAGAUGUGAAAGCCCCGGGCUUAACCUGGGAAUUGCAUUUAGAACUGGCAGGCUAGAGUUUUGAAGAGGGUGGUAGAAUUUCCAGUGUAGCGGUGAAAUGCGUAGAUAUUGGAAGGAAUAUCAGUGGCGAAGGCGGCCACCUGGUCAAAAACUGACGCUGAGGAGCGAAAGCGUGGGGAGCAAACAGGAUUAGAUACCCUGGUAGUCCACGCUGUAAACGAUGUCGACUAGUUGUUCGUGUCAUAAACGAUGUGAGUAACGCAGCUAACGCACUAAGUCGACCGCCUGGGGAGUACGGCCGCAAGGUUAAAACUCAAAUGAAUUGACGGGGGCCCGCACAAGCGGUGGAGCAUGUGGUUUAAUUCGAUGCAACGCGAAGAACCUUACCAUCCCUUGACAUCCAGUGAAUCUUUUAGAGAUAGAAGAGUGCCUUCGGGAGCACUGAGACAGGUGCUGCAUGGCUGUCGUCAGCUCGUGUUGUGAGAUGUUGGGUUAAGUCCCGCAACGAGCGCAACCC
rnacentral:rRNA from 1 species